UACGUAGGGGGCAAGCGUUGUCCGGAAUCAUUGGGCGUAAAGCGCGUGUAGGCGGUUCGGUAAGUCGGCUGUGAAAGUCCAGGGCUCAACCCUGGGAUGCCGGUCGAUACUGCCCGGACUAGAGUUCGGAAGAGGCGAGUGGAAUUCCCCGGUGUAGCGGUGAAAAUGCGCAGAUAUCGGGAGGAACACCAAUGGCGAAGGCAGCUCGCUGGGGACGUUACUGACGCUGAGACGCGAAAAAGCGUGGGG
rnacentral:rRNA from 1 species